ACAUAGCUAUUUGAUGGGCCCAUGGCAGAAGGGGGAAUUUUAAUCGUGUAUCAUAACUUUUGUGGUUAAAUUUUCUUGUAAUCAUUUUACGAGUGGCGGCGCUGGAGCGGUAGAGAGAAAUAAAGGUUUUCUUUAUUUUUGUAGGAGAAUGUGUGUGCAAUGGAAGCUGAUACUUUGUUAAAGUUUUGUUACAUUACCUCCUAACUCGGUUUGAUGUUUGCUAAAUUAACUUAUAUACACUAAUCCGAAAUAAAGAGCGUUUUUUAAGUGAAUGUAAAGUAGAAAAUAUGAAAGGAUCUGAUGUUAGAUUGGCAGAUAAUAUUUUUUCGUUUUUGAAAUUGUUUUGUGAACGUUCCAUUUUACGUACAUAUACCUUCCUUCCUGUGUAUAUAGAGGAUAUACAUAUAUGCACAAACGUUUAAUUUUUUAUUCACGAUUUCAUUAAAUAACUUACUUGCCACACGAGAUAACGAGAUGAGUGAAGUAAAAAAUAAUAGUAAUAAAAUUGCAAGAGAUGAUUUGAAAAUUUCCGGUUUGUUUCUUUUGUAUAAUAAAAUUGCUAAAAAUCAUUGACUUUUAACAUUGCAAUUUGUAAACAGCAUAAAAAGAGGAGAUGAAAUUAAAUGUUAGCCACAAAUAU